GUUCUGUGUACUACGUCACGGAUACAUGAUAAGGCACAUAUAAAACAUGGACUGGUUCCGUACUGUAUAUUAGUGUUCAGCACCACCAUCGCGCCAUCUCAGUAGAACCAGACCAGGGGUAAAUAAAACGACUAGAAAUAACGCACUGUCUGUGAAAGUUAUCCAUAUAGUAAUUUCGGAAUAAACGUGGUAUCAUUUCAUACAUACAGUUGCAUCAAAGUUCAUGAAUAAAUCCACAUCAUAAAAGUUCAAUAUUCCUUGAAACAUGUUAGAUACCAGUUAAGUUUCAUAGUUCAUAAAAUAC
rnacentral:lncRNA from 1 species